UACGAAGGGGGCUAGCGUUGUUCGGAUUUAUUGGGCGUAAAGGGCGCGUAGGCGGCGGGGUAAGUCGGGUGUGAAAUCUCAGGGCUCAACCCUGAAACUGCACUUGAUACUGCUCUGCUUGAGGACUGGAGAGGAGACUGGAAUUCACGGUGUAGCAGUGAAAUGCGUAGAUAUCAAGUGGAACACCAGUGGCGAAGGCGAGUCCCUGGACAACACCUG
rnacentral:rRNA from 1 species